CGGGUCGCUGCGCACGCCGCUCGCGCGCACGCCUGUCACGUUCAACGCGUCGCAGGUCGCCAAAGCGAAACUGCAAGCGGCGCUAUCAGAGGAGAGCGGCAGCGUGGUGGGCAGCGUGGGCGCGGUGAGCGGGCUGAGCGGGGGCGCGGGGGCGGCGGGCGCGGGGGCGGGGGGCGCCGGCCGCUACUGGGCGCCGGGCAAGCUGCCGCACCUGCCCGCGCCCUCCUAGCGCCCGCCGUCCGCGCGCCGCCUGGCGAAGGUGUCGUCGCUAGAGACGCCGCGGCGCGCGGCGGGCGGGCCCGCGCGGCUCGACCUCGAGCGGCGCAGCCUCGACCUCGAGCGCGAGCUGCGCGCCGAGCGCGACUCCGACGCGUCGCUCGACGAGCGCGACCACCUCGUGUGAUGUGCCGCCUGCCACAUGCUGCUCUCAGCGCCAUCUAGCGGCGAACGCGCGAACUGAACAACGCGCCCGUUUUGAGCACAGCGCCAUCUAGCGGCGAGUGCGCGAACAGGGCGAAGUGCCCACGUUGAGCAUAGCGCCAUCUAGUAGCAAGUGUGCGAACUAAACGACGUGCCCGCGUUGAGAACAGCGCCAUCUAGCGGCCCGGACAGUGAUAGUGAUCUGUGCUAGUGAAGUUUGGAAUCCGCGCGCUUUUCUACGUCACCGUUGCCGCGUUUUUGUUUUUAUUCUCUAAAAUAAACUACUCUAUGUAGUGACCUUUUGUAUCGUUUAAUACUCGUGUAAUGUUCAUUUUAAGCUGAAACGAAUUGAAUUGUGACGGCAAUUCAUCGGUCGAAUGAUAUAAUAUUAAUAUUGUAGGUAAAUACACAGUGCUGUAUUUUUGUCUUAUUCGAUUCGAUGGUUGUGCGAAAUUGUGCUCGUUGUACGUAUACUGAUUUACAUGUUCCUAAUUAAUAGUGUACUCCUUGUGUAAUAUGAAACGUGAAGUUGUAAAAUUGACUACAUUGCUCGCAGUAGAAAAGAUAAAUAUAGUGUAGCUAUACCUUUUGUCCUUUUUGGGUUAAGAAUAAUCUAGUUAGUUUUACGACUUCACUUUCCGCGGCAACGAUGGCGGAGAAUGAUCGUGAGACAUUUUCGCUUGACGGCGUGCGUUUAAAAGAAUCUAGUGCGUAGUGGCAAAAUUGAUCUCAAUAAAUAAAAUAAAGACUACGAAAUGAAACGUAAAUAAAUACGAAAAAAUUUAGUGGAAUUGUGCGAGUAACCUAUCGUGUUUUACUGUUUUCUAUGUAUUAUACAUGUAACGUAAGGACAUUGUGUCGUUGUUAGUGCCUGCUAAGUCUGGUUUAGUGUUAGGGACCUCGACCACUGUUUAAGGAUACUCUUUAAACAAACCGAACGACUUGAAAACUUUCGAGAGUUUAAUUUUUCCCGGCUUCACGCUUAACGUACAAAUGAAUUCUUAGAAUCUUGCACUGAUGAUACGCAAGAUUUUAACAGAAUUUAAAAUUUAACUCGAGUGCGAUAAAGCGAUUACUUUUUAAUUUUUAUAUAAUAAAAAAAAAAUUAUCUCUCGAAACAUUAGUUUAAGUGAACUAUUAAUGUGUGUGACUAAACAAUUUUCUACUGAAACAAAAAUGUUUUAAUUUUAAUUUUAUAACUCGACUUCUUGUAGUUAUAUCCGAGUGAUGUAUUUCGCUGUAUUUCAUAGUGAAACGGUGACCUUAUUAUUGGAAUUCUUAAUGGAUAUAAGGGUAGAUAGAUACAAGGCCUUCUAGUUAAGGAGCUAAGCGAUUUUGUUUGUGAAUAGGCAUAGUUGUGAUUUUAAUGUUGUAUACAGUGGAUUGUAGACGAGUAUUUUAAUUGUAUCGGCCAUUGUGUAUCAAAUGAAUGUGUUAAAUAGUAUCUGUUCUGGUUUAGACUGUUUUGAAAUUAUAAUUCAUAUAUUAUGUUGAUGUAAUUAUGUAAGGAUGUAUUACGUCAUUAUCUAAAAGCAGACUGUCCUUAGAAAAAUAGUUUUGAAAUAAUUUAAACCAGAUAUAUAACUAGUACAUAAACGGCAUUUUAUUUAUCAUAACACAAUGUUCCUUUUGUAAUGUACAGUCAAACAUAUCAAUGCAUGAACAAACGUGAAAUGAACAAUAAUUGAUUUUAUGUUGACUUUACUUGUGCAAUUAUUAUUAAGUGAUGUUUAACAGGUUUUUCUUAUUUUGUAUUUCAUUGCAUGAAAGAUGCAUAAUACGACGGAACGGCGUUGCAAAUAUUGAUAAAAAAAAUAGCAAUAGACAGAAUUGAGUAGUUAAUGAAGCUGUUGUUACUUUCAAUUGCAAUGCCGACGUCGUAUUGUGUCAGAUAUAUCGAGAUCUUUUAUGAAUAAAAGUGUUUCACCCCCGUGCAAUAUGUUUGACAAAAAUAUAAUUUUUUUUAUUGCUUAAUUUGUCUUCCUACGAUAAUUGUACCAAUUACAAAGGCCUAUUAUCUGUAUAAUCGUAAUGCAUUUUUAUUUUCGUUUAGUUUAUAGUCGAUUUCUUUUUCAUUAUGUAUGUGAUUACAUAGUUAUAAUAGUUUAUAAAUGAAAUGCACAUGAUUAUUGUGAUUUUGUAUAUGCGAGAAUUUGUGAGGCGAAAAUUACCAGUGUUGAAAAUGAAUAAAACAAUGUGGUCAAGGAAUUUGGAAAGUGUUUUCAUAUUGGAGUUUAUUUUGCAUUUAUAUUAUUAUUUUUUAUGAUUUUGGUCCUUCGAGUAUUACGCAAUAUUAGUACGCACAAUCAGUAUGAAGACAUUUAUUUUACGUUUAAUAGAACAUUUAAGAAGCUAUUAACCAAAUAAAAGUGUUUAACUGAUUGGAUGUGUGUAUAAAUGGUAAUUCUAAUCUACUAGUAAAUUAAAAUGUACUGUGAUCAUUUAGAUUUAAAAAUAACUUUAAAUUUCUAUCAUUGGUAAUUUUCGUAAAUAUAAUAUGCGGUUAAAGUUGUUUUGGAAAUUUAUGAUUAAUCGCGUGUUUUUAAAAUUGACAGUAACACUAUACUCAACGUAGCAUUUUUCGGGUAUCAUUUAAUUUGACUGCCUUUCGUUUAUUAUGCUCAAUAGAUUGUAGUGGUCAAAUAAACUCGUUUAAGUACAGACAGGUGGCGAUACUAGUUUAUUUUUACCCAAAUAGCGGUUUAAGGUAUAUAGUCAAUUACUAUAGCUUAUUUUAACUGGAAUGCUGGUUGAUUGCGGUUCGUAACCGAAUAAAUGACGGUAGUUUUUGAAAACUCAUUGGCAAGACUGCAGCGACAUCUAGAGUGAUUCGUCCGAAUAACAAGGUUUUGUUUGCACUGUAGAAUAUUGAAAAUUGUAAAUAAUUGUUGUAUGAAUUAAUUUUCUUACAGUUAAUGGAUAAGUUUGGAUUUUUUUAGUAUUAUUUACUACUCAAACACCUUUUUACCUACCAUCUUGUCAUCUCUCUGCUUGCGUAUUCCGUCCAAUGAUCUACUCUUGCCAUUGACAGUUCUUUUUCUGUAACUCUUAGAUAUUAAUGUUCACGUCUAGAGUAGGGAAUGUGUGCCGUCAAUAAACUCUUUCGACACGAGAAUAUAUCCGAUUAGUUAAGUACAAACACUUCUAGAGACAGUAAAGGUUUCCACCGGGAUGGUUCACUCAGAUGGCGCCACAGUCGGACUCCAUCUUGGCAUUGAUCAGUAUUAAAAUAAUAUUUCGUUGAAAGUCUCGCAUCGCUACUGCCAAGUACAUUUAAUUAAUUAUAAGUUAAAUUUGCUAUAUUUACAUAUAGGAAAAGUCUAGUUACUAUUAUUAUAUAGCUUUUGUUCGACCGCUGCAUUUCUCUUAUACCCUAGUUAUUUUGUAACGUUGUGUUCUCAUUUUGUAUCUAAAGCUGCUGUUUCACGCGUUGAAACUCGUAGCGACAAUGUGAAUACUAUACAAUUUAAAUAAAUGAAUUAUAUAAUGAA